rnacentral:rRNA from 1 species
UUUGGGCAAUGGGCGAAAGCCUGACCCAGCAACGCCGCGUGAGGGAUGAAGUAUUUCGGUAUGUAAACCUCGAAAGAGUGGGAAGAAUAAAUGACGGUACCAUUUAUAAGCUCCGGCUAACUACGUGCCAGCAGCCGCGGUAAUACGUAGGGAGCAAGCGUUGUUCGGAUUUACUGGGCGUAAAGGGCGCGUAGGCGGCGCGGUAAGUCACUUGUGAAAUCUCUGAGCUUAACUCAGAACGGCCAAGUGAUACUGCUGUGCUAGAGUGCGGAAGAGGCAACCGGAAUUCUUGGUGUAGGGGUGAAAUGCGUAGAUAUCAAGAGGAACACCUGAGGCGAAGGCGGUUUGCUGUGCCGACACUGACGCUGAUGCGCGAAAGCCAGG